GCAAGUCGAGCGGAUGAAGGUAGCUUGCUACUGGAUUCAGUGGCGGACGGGUGAGUAAUGCUUAGGAAUCUGCCUAAUAGUGGGGGACAACGUUCCGAAAGGAGCGCUAAUACCGCAUACGUCCUACGGGAGAAAGCAGGGGACCUUCGGGCCUUGCGCUAAUAGAUGAGCCUAAGUCGGAUUAGCUAGUUGGUAGGGUAAAGGCCUACCAAGGCGACGAUCUGUAGCGGGUCUGAGAGGAUGAUC
rnacentral:rRNA from 1 species